UAUCUCUCCGUACGGGGAAGGAUGAGAAGCUUCGAAUAAGGUUCGAUUCGAGCGAAAGCGAGAAAGCGUUGCCGCAGGCAACGACCCGAAGGGCGAAGCGCGCAGCGCUGAGUCAUCCUUCCCCCACCACCA
rnacentral:sRNA from 4 species